GAUUAAGCCAUGCAUGUCUAAGUUCACACCCUCGUACGGUGAAACCGCGAAUGGCUCAUUAAAUCAGUCGAGGUUCCUUAGAUGAUCCCAAUCUACUUGGAUAACUGUGGUAAUUCUAGAGCUAAUACAUGCCAACCAGCUCCGACCCUUCGGGGAAAGAGCGCUUUUAUUAGUUCAAAACCAGUCGGGUCUUCGGGCUCGUCCUUUGGUGACUCUGGAUAACUUUGUGCCGAUCGCAUGGCCUCGAGCCGGCGACGCAUCUUUCAAAUGUCUGCCCUAUCAAAUGACGAUGGUACGUGAUCUGCCUACCAUGUUAACAACGGGUAGCGGGGAAUCAGGGUUCGAUUCCGGAGAGGGAGCAUGAGAAACGGCUACCACAUCCAAGGAAGGCAGCAGGCGCGCAACUUACCCACUCCUGGCACGGGGAGGUAGUGACGAAAAAUAACAAUACGGAACUCUUUUGAGGCUCCGUAAUUGGAAUGAGUACACUUUAAACCCUUUAACGAGGAUCUAUUGGAGGGCAAGUCUGGUGCCAGCAGCCGCGGUAAUUCCAGCUCCAAUAGCGUAUACUAAAGUUGUUGCGAUUAAAAAGCUCGUAGUUGGAUCUCAGGCAUGGGCGCGCGGUCCGCCUCGCGGCGGUCACUGCGUGUAUGUUUCCCAUCCUACGCUUCCCGGUUGUUCAGCCCAUGGUGCUCUUGACUGAGCGUUUUGGGUGGCCGGAACGUUUACUUUGAAGAAAUUAGAGUGUUCAAAGCAGGCACGUCGCCUGAAUAAUGGUGCAUGGAAUAAUGGAAUAGGACCUCGGUUCUAUUUUGCUGGUUUUCGGAACACGAGGUAAUGAUUAAGAGGGACAGACGGGGGCAUCCGUAUUGCGGUGUUAGAGGUGAAAUUCUUGGAUCAUCGCAAGACGAACAACUGCGAAAGCAUUUGCCAAGAAUGUUUUCAUUAGUCAA
rnacentral:rRNA from 1 species